UACGGGGGGGGGCAAGCGUUGUUCGGAAUUACUGGGCGUAAAGGGCUCGUAGGCGGCCAGCUAAGUCAUACGUGAAAUCCCUCGGCUUAACCGGGGAACUGCGUCUGAUACUGGAUGGCUUGAGUUCGGGAGAGGGAUGCGGAAUUCCAGGUGUAGCGGUGAAAUGCGUAGAUAUCUGGAGGAACACCGGUGGCGAAGGCGGCAUCCUGGACCGAUACUGACGCUGAGGAGCGAAAGCCAGGGGAGCAAACGGG
rnacentral:rRNA from 1 species